rnacentral:rRNA from 1 species
UACGGAGGGAGCUAGCGUUGUUCGGAAUUACUGGGCGUAAAGCGUACGUAGGCGGCUUUGUAAGUUAGAGGUGAAAGCCCGGAGCUCAACUCCGGAACUGCCUUUAAGACUGCAUCGCUAGAAUCCGGGAGAGGUGAGUGGAAUUCCGAGUGUAGAGGUGAAAUUCGUAGAUAUUCGGAAGAGCACCAGUGGCGAAGGCGGCUCACUGGACCGGCAUUGACGCUGAGGUACGAAAGCGUGGGGAGCAAACAGG